UGGGGAAUUUUGGACAAUGGGCGAAAGCCUGAUCCAGCAAUGCCGCGUGUGUGAAGAAGGCCUUCGGGUUGUAAAGCACUUUUGUCCGGAAAGAAAUCCUUGGCUCUAAUACAGUCGGGGGAUGACGGUACCGGAAGAAUAAGCACCGGCUAACUACGUGCCAGCAGCCGCGGUAAUACGUAGGGUGCAAGCGUUAAUCGGAAUUACUGGGCGUAAAGCGCGCGCAGGCGGUUUGCUAAGACCGAUGUGAAAUCCCCGGGCUCAACCUGGGAACUGCAUUGGUGACUGGCAGGCUAGAGUAUGGCAGAGGGGGGUAGAAUUCCGCGUGUAGCAGUGAAAUGCGUAGAGAUGUGGAGGAAUACCGAUGGCGAAGGCAGCCCCCUGGGCCAAUACUGACGCUCAUGCACGAAAAGCGUGGGGAGCAAAACAGGAUUAGAUACCCUGGUAGUCCACGCCCUAAAACGAUGUCAACUAGUUGUUGGGGAUUCAUUUCCUUAGUAACGUAGCUAACGCGUGAAGUUGACCGCCUGGGGAGUACGGUCGCAAGAUUAAAACUCAAAUGAAUUGACGGGGUCAUAGCUGUUUCCU
rnacentral:rRNA from 1 species